rnacentral:rRNA from 1 species
AUCUUAGACAAUGGGGGCAACCCUGAUCUAGCCAUGCCGCGUGAGUGAUGAAGGCCUUAGGGUUGUAAAGCUCUUUCAGCUGGGAAGAUAAUGACGGUACCAGCAGAAGAAGCCCCGGCUAACUCCGUGCCAGCAGCCGCGGUAAUACGGAGGGGGCUAGCGUUGUUCGGAAUUACUGGGCGUAAAGCGCACGUAGGCGGACCAGCAAGUUAGGGGUGAAAUCCCGGGGCUCAACCUCGGAACUGCCUUUAAAACUGUUGGUCUGGAGUUCGAGAGAGGUGAGUGGAAUACCGAAUGUAGAGGUGAAAUUCGUAGAUAUUCGGUGGAACACCAGUGGCGAAGGCGGCUCACUGGCUCGAUACUGACGCUGAGGUGCGAAAGCGUGGGGAGCAAACAG